CAAUGCUCUCAUUUCCCUCUUUCCAUAUGCCAAACUUUCUCUCUCUCUCUCUCUCUCUCACUAAUGAAAUGAAACCCUAGCAGAUGGAGUUUCCUCUUUGCCGUUUCUAUUCUCCUCUCAUCAAUCACCACCGGUCACCAUCACCGCCAUAACUACUCCACAACGACGAAACUCUUGUCCACCAUCGCUGACGCUUACUCACCUUCACCACCACUACUCGAACACGAAGAACAUCAUCUCCUUUUCUCACCGACCUUGACGAACACUAUUUAAGAUUUUGCAGGGAUUGUUGCGACAAACCUAUCUGUGAUUCUUUGAGAUUUGUGGUUUUUAUUUGCUGAUAUGUUGUUUUGAUAUGGACAGAGGGGUCAAGGUGAAAGUGGUAUGGAAAGAGUCAUAUAGAGCAUGGGCGGUGUAAGUGUAAGAAACUUCUGAAUUGUUGCAAGAAACCCUAUUCAAAUUGUUUUAAGCAUUCUCAAGAAUAACAAAGUUGAUUGCUGUUGCCAUGGCGUUCGUUCACCGUCGGUGUACUAAUUAUGUUCGAAUUCAGGCAAGACAAGCCAAAGGCUGUGGAGAUAUUAAGUGGUGAUUUAGAUGUGUUCCCCCACCUUCAAUUAGGAGUUAUACAAAGAAAUCACCCAGAUGUUAAUUCUUAAUGAUUUAAGACAAAAUGAUUCAAGUCAAAUGAUUCAAGUAUGGGGCAAUGUGGACCUAGUGGGGAUAGAGAUGCAAGUCCUACCAAUGUUGUUGAUGGGAAUAGCAGAGGAAAUGUUGAAGCAGGAUAGAUUUUGUUUGUCCAAGUUAAUGUUAGGUUCAUUAUUGAAUUUGAAAAUUUUAUAAUGUAAAAAUUGUAACAAGUUUUGUGAAAAAGUUAGAAAUUUUA